UACUCUGAGCGGUGGAUCACUCGGUUCUCGAGUCGAUGAAGAACGCAGCCAGCUGCGAGACUUGGUGUGAAUUGCAGGACACACUGAGCACUGAUUCUUUGAACGCACAUUGCGGCCUUGGGUCUUCCCUUGGCUUCGUCUGUCUGAGGGUCG
rnacentral:rRNA from 1 species